rnacentral:rRNA from 1 species
GACGAACGCUGGCGGCGUGCUUAACACAUGCAAGUCGAGCGGUAAGGCCCUUUCGGGGGUACACGAGCGGCGAACGGGUGAGUAACACGUGGGUGACCUGCCCUCAGCUCUGGGAUAAGCCUGGGAAACCGGGUCUAAUACUGGAUAUGACUCCAUGACGCAUGUUGUGGGGUGGAAAGCCUUGUGCGGCUGAGGAUGGGCCCGCGGCCUAUCAGCUUGUUGGUGGGGUGANGGCCUACCAAGGCGACGACGGGUAGCCGGCCUGAGAGGGCGACCGGCCACACUGGGACUGAGACACGGCCCAGACUCCUACGGGAGGCAGCAGUGGGGAAUCUUGCGCAAUGGGCGAAAG